AUUGAACGCUGGCGGCAUGCCUUACACAUGCAAGUCGAACGGCAGCGCGGGGCAACCUGGCGGCGAGUGGCGAACGGGUGAGUAACAUAUCGGAACAUACCCUAGAGUGGGGGAUAACGUAGCGAAAGUUACGCUAAUACCGCAUACGCACUAAGGUGGAAAGUGGGGGAUUCGCAAGAACCUCAUGCUCAUGGAGUGGCCGAUAUCUGAUUAGCUAGUUGGUGAGGUAAAGGCUCACCAAGGCGACGAUCAGUAGCUGGUUUGAGAGAACGACCAGCCACACUGGAACUGAGACACGGUCCAGACUCCUACGGAGGCAGCAGUGGGGAAUUUUGGACAAUGGGGGCAACCCUGAUCCAGCAAUAACCGCGUGAGUGAAGAAGGCCUUAGGGUUGUAAAAGGCUCUUUUACCCGAGAUGAUAAUGACAGUAUCGGGAGAAUAAGCUACCGGCUAACUCCGUAGCCAGCAG
rnacentral:rRNA from 1 species